rnacentral:rRNA from 1 species
GCAAUCUACCUUUUACAGAGGGAUAGCCCAGAGAAAUUUGGAUUAAUACCUCUUAGUAUGUGAGAAUGGCAUCAUUUUCACAUUAAAGUCACAACGGUAAAAGAUGAGCAUGCGUCCCAUUAGCUAGUUGGUAAGGUAACGGCUUACCAAGGCUACGAUGGGUAGGGGUCCUGAGAGGGAGAUCCCCCACACUGGUACUGAGACACGGACCAGACUCCUACGGGAGGCAGCAGUGAGGAAUAUUGGUCAAUGGGCGCAAGCCUGAACCAGCCAUGCCGCGUGCAGGAUGACGGUCCUAUGGAUUGUAAACUGCUUUUGUACGGGAAGAAACACUACUUCGUGAAGUAGCUUGACGGUACCGUAAGAAUAAGGAUCGGCUAACUCCGUGCCAGCAGCCGCGGUAAUACGGAGGAUCCAAGCGUUAUCCGGAAUCAUUGGGUUUAAAGGGUCCGUAGGCGGUUUAGUAAGUCAGUGGUGAAAGCCCAUCGCUCAACGGUGGAACGGCCAUUGAUACUGCUAGACUUGAAUUAUUAGGAAGUAACUAGAAUAUGUAGUGUAGCGGUAAAAUGCUUAGAGAUUACAUGGAAUACCAAUUGCGAAGGCAGGUUACUACUAAUGGAUUGACGCUGAUGGACGAAAGCGUGGGUAGCGAACAGGAUUAGAUACCCUGGUAGUCCACGCCGUAAACGAUGGAUACUAGCUGUUGGGAGCGAUCUCAGUGGCUAAGCGAAAGUGAUAAGUAUCCCACCUGGGGAGUACGUUCGCAAGAAUGAAACUCAAAGGAAUUGACGGGGGCCCGCACAAGCGGUGGAGCAUGUGGUUUAAUUCGAUG